UACGGGGGGAGCAAGCGUUGUUCGGAUUUACUGGGCGUAAAGGGCGCGUAGGCGGCCAGCGCAAGUCAGUUGUGAAAUCUCCGGGCUUAACUCGGAACGGUCAACUGAUACUGCGCGGCUAGAGUGCAGAAGGGGCAACUGGAAUUCUCGGUGUAGCGGUGAAAUGCGUAGAUAUGCGGAGGAACACCGAUGGCGAAGGCAGUCCCCUGGGCCUGUACUGACGCUCAUGCACGAAAGCGUGGGGAGCAAACAGG
rnacentral:rRNA from 1 species